rnacentral:RNase_P_RNA from 1 species
UCAGAGGGUUGGGCGAUCGCGAUGUGUGCAAGCAUCUCGAGGAAAGUCCGGGCUCCACGUAACGACGGUGCCGGGUAACGCCCGGCGGGCCAGAGAGCGAUUUCUGGUUCAGGGAUAGUGCCACAGAGAGCAGACCACCGGUCUUCGGAUCGGCCAGGGUGAAAGGGUGCGGUAAGAGCGCACCGCGGGGCUGGUAACAGCACCGGCACGGCAAACCCCACCGGGAGCAAGACCGAAUAGGGGCGGCACAGGGGCGCCCCAGAAAGUACUACUUUCUGGGGAACCCCAUGGGUUUGUUGCAACUCGUCGCCCGGGUUGGUUGCUAGAGGCGGCGCGCAAGCGUCGUCCGAGAGGAAUGAUCGCCCAGUUCCCAAACCUUGAAGAGGGUGGGGGGAUGGACAGAACCCGGCUUACAGACCCUCUGGCACU